rnacentral:rRNA from 1 species
AACGAACGCUGGCGGCAGGCCUAACACAUGCAAGUCGAGCGCUCCUUCGGGUGAGCGGCGGACGGGUGAGUAACGCGUGGGAAUAUGCCCUUCUCUACGGAAUAGUCCUGGGAAACUGGGGGUAAUACCGUAUACGCCCUUUGGGGGAAAGAUUUAUCGGGGAAGGAUUAGCCCGCGUUGGAUUAGGUAGUUGGUGGGGUAAUGGCCUACCAAGCCGACGAUCCAUAGCUGGUUUGAGAGGAUGAUCAGCCACACUGGGACUGAGACACGGCCCAGACUCCUACGGGAGGCAGCAGUGGGGAAUAUUAGACAAUGGGGGCAACCCUGAUCUAGCCAUGCCGCGUGAGUGAUGAAGGCCUUAGGGUUGUAAAGCUCUUUCAGCUGGGAAGAUAAUGACGGUACCAGCAGAAGAAGCCCCGGCUAACUCCGUG